UUUCCGUAGGUGAACCUGCGGAAGGAUCAUUAGUGAAUAAACUUGUGUAGGUUGUUGCUGACCUCCUCGGAGGUAUGUGCACACCUGCCAUUAUCCACCUCCCACCUGUGCACUCUUUGUAGGCCAAACACAUCACUCUUUCAGGUCUUUGCCUGGUGUGAGGAACUGCUUUGCUUUCCUUGGAUGGGGUGUGGUCUAUGUCUUUAUCAACACUGUAUGUAAUUGAAUGUCUGUCCUGGUCCUAUUUGACCCAUAAAACCUUAUACAACUUUCAGCAACGGAUCUCUUGGCUCUC
rnacentral:misc_RNA from 1 species